rnacentral:piRNA from 1 species
CGGCGAGGGACGGACGGGCUUGGUG